rnacentral:rRNA from 1 species
UACGGAGGGUGCAAGCGUUACUCGGAGUCACUGGGCGUAAAGGAUGCGUAGGCUGGAAAUCAAGUCGAGAGUGAAAUCCAACGGCUCAACCGUUGAACUGCUCUCGAAACUGGUUACCUAGAAUAUGGGAGAGGUAGAUGGAAUUGGUGGUGUAGGGGUAAAAUCCGUAGAUAUCACCAGGAAUACCGAUUGCGAAGGCGACCUACUGGAACAUUAUUGACGCUGAGGCAUGAAAGCGUGGGGAGCAAACAGG